rnacentral:rRNA from 1 species
GAACGAGGAUAUAUCCUUCGGGAUAUAAAUCGAGUGGCGCAAGGGUGAGUAAUGCAUAGAUUACCUGCCUCUGGGAUAAGGACAACUUUGUGAAAACGGAGCUAAUACUUAAUAAUACAAGGGAAAAUUAUUUCUUUUGUCAAAGGGAGGGUAGCAAUAUCUUUUGCCUAGAGAGGGGUUUAUGUCCUAUCAGCUUGUUGGUGGGGUAAUGGCCUACCAAGGCGUAGACGGGUAGCCGGCCUUAGAGGGUGGUCGGCCACACUGGGACUGAGACACUGCCCAGACUUCUACGGAAGGCUGCAGUCGAGAAUCUUUCGCAAUGCCCGAAAGGGUGACGAAGCGACGCCGCGUGGGUGAGGACGGCCUUCGGGUUGUAAAGCCCUGUCAGGAGUUAAGAAAUGUAAGUGUGCUAAUACCACAUUUAUUUGACGAAGGCUCCAAAGGAAGCCACGGCUAACUCUGUGCCAGCAGCCGCGGUAAUACAGAGGUGGCAAGCGUUGUUCGGAAUUAUUGGGCGUAAAGAGCACGUAGGUGGGUUUAUAAGUCAGAUGUGAAAGCCUUCUGUUCAACGGAAGAAUUGCAUCUGAAACUGUAAGUCUUGAGUGUAGGAGGGGAGAAUGGAACUUCUGGUGGAGCGGUGAAAUGCGUAGAUAUCAGAAGGAACGCCGGCGGCGAAAGCGAUUCUCUGGCCUAUUACUGACACUGAGUGUGCGAAAGCUAGGGGAGCAAACGGGAUUAGAUACCCCGGUAGUCCUAGCCGUAAACGAU